GAUGGCGGCGCCCAUGGAGCUGUUCUGCUGGUCAGGGGGCUGGGGGCUGCCGUCAGUGGACCUGGACAGCCUGGCCGUGCUGACCUAUGCCAGAUUUACUGGUGCUCCACUGAAGGUACACAAGAUCAGCAACCCCUGGCAGAGCCCUUCAGGAACUCUGCCUGCCCUUCGGACCAGUCAUGGAGAGGUCAUCUCAGUUCCACACAAGAUCAUCACCCACCUUCGAAAAGAGGUAGGUGACUUGGAUAGUGGGGGCUGCCACUGAGAGAAGUUCAGUCAAUUCUAUACAAUACACAUUUAUUGAGCACCAGAUAUAUGCCAUGCUAGAUGCAGGUGACCCAGAGCAUCAAGGAGCAACAGUCUCGUGGCAGAGACACACACAAUGUCACUGUGAUGUAUUAAAGCUGUCGGCAAGAGAUGAAACUUAGGGCACUGUGAGGCAGGGAAGGAGAGGAGCACAGGCUGAAGGAGAGUGGAAGACAGCAGUUGGCCUCUGAUGGUGGGACUGGAGAGAGAUUUCUAAGGGCCACUUCCUGUUUUCAGGGACUAGGUUGGGCUAGAUAUGGGGCUCAGGAUGGACAAGGCUUAGAGCCAGGUUGGAGAAGAUGAAAGAGCAUUACUAGAGGAGUGGGGAGGCCUAGGCUAUGCUCUUUACUCUGCCAUUGACUAUGUGAUCUUGGGCAGGCCAUGUAACCUCUCAGGGCUGUGCACUCCCUUAUUUGUAAAACUAGAGGGCUGGGCCAGCAUGUUUUCCAAGGGUUCUAGCAUUGACGGUCAGGUUCCAAGAGGGAACACAGUGUCAGAAGUGGGACACUCUUCCUCAUUUCUAAUUUCCCAAAGGUUAAGGACCUGGGGAAUUAAUUGAGAGGCCUGGAAAGAGAGGAUCCAGAUAAAAGCCAAAGUUCCUGGCAGAGCCGAGGCCACUGCCCUGAUUGCUUAGGUGUGAACAGAGCUUUUCCAGUUUCCAAAGUAUUCUAAAUUAUUUCCUAACACAGGGGCAUUCAGAGAAAGAGAUUCUUACCCCCAUUCCACAGGGGAGAAACUGAGGCUUAGGGAGAUUUAAGGAUCAUGCUGAAGAGGUUAUCUGGGGACAAAGCUUACUCAGGAUGUGGAGGGGGGAUGCUGAGGAACAGGGACUGGAGCCUGGGAAGGUAGGGCAGGCUGAGACCUGGGGGUAUGGGUGGAAUGUGUAUGUGGUAAUGGUGUCUGAGCAAUGGAAUGAAGUGAAAGAAAUAGCCAAGAGCUGGGCACUGAGGGAACAAGCUGGGGGGCCCUGGGCAUGGGUUCCCUGGAUCCAGGGAGUGUGAGGAUGGCUUUCCCUGGUUCCUGAGGCAUGGACCGAGUCCUAGCCUGCAUCUGAGCUCCGUUGUGCGAGCUUUGUGGUGUCUGGGUCGGGGAAGUUACUGUUAGAAAGUUGCCGUCAGCAGGCGUUGUUCCAGCUUUCCAUGGAAAUUCUGGGAGCUGCUCCUAGUUUGCGGCGGAGCCUCCCUUCCUUCCCUGCAUUGGGCGCUGGACCUUGACGGCCAGGAGGCUCCAAGGCCCAGGCUUUUUGCCAACAGCAACAGGCUACUGGCUGGGCCCAGGCAAGGGGGCCUUGGCAGGAAAAGUUCCUUGCUGUACCUCCACUGCACUCAGAGGCCAGUGAGGGGGGUACCAGACAGGACUCCUUCCUCCCUGGUGAAGUGCCCUUGCAGCUCCCCAGUGUCCACGCCAUGGAUAUUUCCUCCACAGAAGUACAAUGCUGAUUAUGAUCUGUCAGCUCGGCAAGGGGCAGACACCCUGGCCUUCAUGUCUCUCCUGGAGGAGAAGUUGCUCCCGGUGCUGGUACAUACUUUUUGGAUAGACACCAAGAACUACGUCGAAGUGACCCGGAAGUGGUAUGCAGAGGCUAUGCCCUUUCCCCUCAACUUCUUCCUGCCUGGCCGCAUGCAGCGGCAGUACAUGGAACGGCUACAGCUGCUGACUGGGGAGCAUAGGCCUGAGGACGAGGAAGAGCUGGAGAAGGAGCUGUACCGAGAGGCUCGGGAGUGUCUGACCCUGCUCUCUCAGCGCCUGGGCUCUCAAAAGUUCUUCUUUGGAGAUGCCCCUGCCUCCUUGGAUGCCUUCGUCUUUAGCUACUUGGCCCUGCUGCUGCAGGCAAAGCUGCCCAGUGGGAAGCUGCAGGUCCACCUGCGUGGGCUGCACAACCUCUGUGCCUAUUGUACCCACAUUCUCAGUCUCUACUUCCCCUGGGAUGGAGCUGAGGUACCACCGCAACGCCAGACACCAGCAGGCCCAGAGACUGAGGAGGAGCCAUACCGGCGCCGGAACCAGAUCCUAUCUGUGCUGGCAGGACUGGCAGCCAUGGUGGGCUACGCCUUGCUCAGCGGCAUUGUCUCCAUCCAGCGGGCAACGCCUGCUCGGGCCCCAGGCACCCGGACCCUGGGCAUGGCUGAGGAGGAUGAAGAGGAAUGAUUUGUCCUCACGCUCCCAAGACUGGUUUUUCUACUCUCAUGCAUUCCAGAGGCCCCCGUGCCUCCUCGUUGGUACAGCCGGACACGGGGUGCUGCCCCCCAGAAUAAAGCCACUCACACUGA
rnacentral:sRNA from 1 species